rnacentral:rRNA from 1 species
GGGUUGUGAGGUUAAGCGAACAAGCGUACACGGUGGAUGCCCUGGCAGUCAGAGGCGAUGAAGGACGUGCUAAUCUGCGAAAAGCGCCGGUAAGGUGAUAUGAACCGUUAUAACCGGCGAUGUCCGAAUGGGGAAACCCGGUGCACUUCGGUGCAUCAUCGUUAGCUGAAUACAUAGGCUAACGAGGCGAACCGGGGGAACUGAAACAUCUAAGUACCCCGAGGAAAAGAAAUCAACCGAGAUUCCCCCAGUAGCGGCGAGCGAACGGGGAACAGCCCAGAGCCUGAAUCAGCUUGUGUGUCAGUGGAACGGUCUGGAAAGGCCGGCGAUACAGGGUGACAGCCCCGUACACGAAGGCACACAGGCUGUGAGCUCGAUGAGUAGGGCGGGACACGUGAUAUCCUGUCUGAAGAUGGGGGGACCAUCCUCCAAGGCUAAAUACUCCUGACUGACCGAUAGUGAACCAGUACCGUGAGGGAAAGGCGAAAAGAACCCCGGCGAGGGGAGUGAAACAGAACCUGAAACCGUGUACGUACAAGCAGUGGGAGCCUUCGUAAGAGGGUGACUGCGUACCUUUUGUAUAAUGGGUCAGCGACUUAUAUUCUGUAGCAAGGUUAACCGUAUAGGGGAGCCGAAGGGAAACCGAGUCUUAAUUGGGCGUUAAGUUGCAGGGUAUAGACCCGAAACCCGGUGAUCUAGCCAUGGGCAGGUUGAAGGUUGGGUAACACUAACUGGAGGACCGAACCGACUAAUGUUGAAAAAUUAGCGGAUGACCUGUGGCUGGGGGUGAAAGGCCAAUCAAACCGGGAGAUAGCUGGUUCUCCCCGAAAGCUAUUUAGGUAGCGCCUCGUGAAUUCAUCUCCGGGGGUAGAGCACUGUUUCGGCUAGGGGGCCAUCCCGGCUUACCAACCCGAUGCAAACUGCGAAUACCGGAGAAUGUUAUCACGGGAGACACACGGCGGGUGCUAACGUCCGUCGUGAAGAGGGAAACAACCCAGACCGCCAGCUAAGGUCCCAAAGUCAUGGUUAAGUGGGAAACGAUGUGGGAAGGCCCAGACAGCCAGGAUGUUGGCUUAGAAGCAGCCAUCAUUUAAAGAAAGCGUAAUAGCUCACUGGUCGAGUCGGCCUGCGCGGAAGAUGUAACGGGGCUAAACCAUGCACCGAAGCUGCGGCAGCGACACUAUGUGUUGUUGGGUAGGGGAGCGUUCUGUAAGCCUGCGAAGGUGUGCUGUGAGGCAUGCUGGAGGUAUCAGAAGUGCGAAUGCUGACAUAAGUAACGAUAAAGCGGGUGAAAAGCCCGCUCGCCGGAAGACCAAGGGUUCCUGUCCAACGUUAAUCGGGGCAGGGUGAGUCGACCCCUAAGGCGAGGCCGAAAGGCGUAGUCGAUGGGAAACAGGUUAAUAUUCCUGUACUUGGUGUUACUGCGAAGGGGGGACGGAGAAGGCUAUGUCGGCCGGGCGACGGUUGUCCCGGUUUAAGCGUGUAGGCUGACUUUCCAGGCAAAUCCGGAAGGUUAAGGCUGAGGCGUGAUGACGAGGCACCACGGUGCUGAAGUGACAAAUGCCCUGCUUCCAGGAAAAGCCUCUAAGCAUCAGGUAACAUCAAAUCGUACCCCAAACCGACACAGGUGGUCAGGUAGAGAAUACCAAGGCGCUUGAGAGAACUCGGGUGAAGGAACUAGGCAAAAUGGUGCCGUAACUUCGGGAGAAGGCACGCUGACAUGUAGGUGAAGCCCCUGCGGGUGGAGCUGAAGUCAGUCGAAGAUACCAGCUGGCUGCAACUGUUUAUUAAAAACACAGCACUGUGCAAACACGAAAGUGGACGUAUACGGUGUGACGCCUGCCCGGUGCCGGAAGGUUAAUUGAUGGGGUUAUCGCAAGAGAAGCUCCUGAUCGAAGCCCCGGUAAACGGCGGCCGUAACUAUAACGGUCCUAAGGUAGCGAAAUUCCUUGUCGGGUAAGUUCCGACCUGCACGAAUGGCGUAAUGAUGGCCAGGCUGUCUCCACCCGAGACUCAGUGAAAUUGAACUCGCUGUGAAGAUGCAGUGUACCCGCGGCAAGACGGAAAGACCCCGUGAACCUUUACUACAGCUUGACACUGAACAUUGAGCCUUGAUGUGUAGGAUAGGUGGGAGGCUUUGAAGCGUGGACGCCAGUCUGCGUGGAGCCGACCUUGAAAUACCACCCUUUAAUGUUUGAUGUUCUAACCUGGCGCCGUGAUCCGGCGUGGGGACAGUGUCUGGUGGGUAGUUUGACUGGGGCGGUCUCCUCCCAAAGUGUAACGGAGGAGCACGAAGGUCAGCUAAUCCUGGUCGGACAUCAGGAGGUUAGUGCAAUGGCAUAAGCUGGCUUGACUGCGAGAGUGACGGCUCGAGCAGGUGCGAAAGCAGGUCAUAGUGAUCCGGUGGUUCUGUAUGGAAGGGCCAUCGCUCAACGGAUAAAAGGUACUCCGGGGAUAACAGGCUGAUACCGCCCAAGAGUUCAUAUCGACGGCGGUGUUUGGCACCUCGAUGUCGGCUCAUCACAUCCUGGGGCUGAAGUAGGUCCCAAGGGUAUGGCUGUUCGCCAUUUAAAGUGGUACGCGAGCUGGGUUUAGAACGUCGUGAGACAGUUCGGUCCCUAUCUGCCGUGGGCGCUGGAGAAUUGAGGGGGGCUGCUCCCAGUACGAGAGGACCGGAGUGGACGCAUCACUGGUGUUCGGGUUGUCAUGCCAAUGGCACUGCCCGGUAGCUAAAUGCGGAAGAGAUAAGUGCUGAAAGCAUCUAAGCACGAAACUUGCCCCGAGAUGAGUUCUCCCUGAGACUGUAAGUCUCCUGAAGGAACGUUGAAGACGACGACGUUGAUAGGCCGGGUGUGUAAGCGCAGCGAUGCGUUGAGCUAACCGGUACUAAUGAACCGUGAGGCUUAACCUUACAACGCCAAAGAAGU